GUCCCCCUAUAUAUAGCCCCUCGGGCCCUGGCAUCAGAUGCUGCGCCACGCUGGUGGUGGUGGUCAAUACAAGAAGACCGUAGAAAAGAUAACGCUUAAAGACCAGAGGAUUCCUCAGCACACAGAAGAGCAUUCCAACACCUCAGCGGCGUUGACCAGCGGACCAGCUGACGAGCUCAAGAACAGCAACAUGACUCACGUCCGGAGAUUCCAGGGGAUUCCGAUGUCCACGGUACAUUAGGGGAAGAAAAACACCAACCUUCGUACUAUACUAACUCAUCUUCUCAAAGAUGCUAUGGAUGUCGAGUCUGGCUUUGAAUCCGUUCAACGAUUCAAGUGUUUAGCCGAGGAACGAGACAGGAGAACGGAGAGGUUGGGAGCACCACUCUUCAACCAGAUAUGAGCUCGUCCACCGUCAGACUUUACAUGUAUCAUCCAAAGCCUGAUUUGUGUGACACCACAGUGAGAGUCUCUGUCCAUUCCCAGACAAUGUCCAAGAUCCCAGCUGCACUCAUAAUUCUGCGUUUGUUAUUGACUUAUGAGUUGAACUUCAGAGAAACGCUCGAAAAACCAAGAGGCUUUACUCCACUAGCAGUUACAUCAAUGAGGGGAAUCUGUAAGGAGGAAGACUAUGCCUUCCUUGGUGGGGUGAAAAUGCCAGAUGAAGAUGAGGACUAUGAGUAUCCAAGCGGUUCAAAGACUCCUGUGUGUGACUCUGAAAGCUGGAGGAGCAGAAGGGAAGAGAGGGUUCAGCGAAGGAUGGAGAGAGAGCAGAAAGAGAGGGAGAGACUACGAGAACUGGAGGAGAGCAAGAUGGAGAAGGAGCGACGGUGGCGUAGUCACGUCGCGGAGCUCUCCUCUAGCCAGGAGGCCGACGUCAGAGAGAGACUGAGCAGACUGAGGAGCUUCAGGGUGUUUCAGAGGAGGGUUCUGAUGGAGGGGUGUGGGAUGGAGCCCAGCACUGCAGGCCUCCUCAUGGACCAGCGGCCCUCUAGGAUCUAGACCCAAAUUCAAACUGUCCCGAGCUCCGACCGUUUCAGGACCAGCCCAGGCUGAUGGCGACUUGUAGCCUUCAGAAACCAGCCUGGAGGAAAGACUAACCCUGAGACGCUAACCAUUAGGCCAACCUGAAACAUUGAGUAGCCAGCAUCUGCAUCAACUUGUGAACUUCAUUAACCAACUUGUAGAUUAACUUUUGAACUCUGAGAGAAACAACAUGUAGACCACCUGGGGACCUUAAAAAUAAACCUAUCGUCCAACUUGUAAGGUUGAGAGACCAAACUCAA